rnacentral:tRNA from 1 species
GUCCACAGGGGCGGGAAUCGAACCCACAACCUUCCGCUUACCGGGCAGAUGCCAUGUCCACUAGGCUACCCUGGA